rnacentral:rRNA from 1 species
UACGUAGGGGGCGAGCGUUGUCCGGAAUCAUUGGGCGUAAAGCGCGUGUAGGCGGUUCAGUAAGUCUGCUGUGAAAGUCCAGGGCUCAACCCUGGGAUGCCGGUGGAUACUGCUGAACUAGAGUGCGGAAGAGGCGAGUGGAAUUCCCGGUGUAGCGGUGAAAUGCGCAGAUAUCGGGAGGAACACCAAUUGCGAAGGCAGCUCGCUGGGGACGUUUACUGACGCUGAGACGCGAAAGCGUGGGGGAGCAAACAGG